UACGAGGGGGGCAAGCGUUGUUCGGAAUUAUUGGGCGUAAAGGGCGCGUAGGCGGUGCGGUAAGUCACCUGUGAAAACUCUGGGCUCAACUCAGAGCCUGCAGGCGAAACUGCCGUGCUUGAGUGUGGGAGAGGUGCGUGGAAUUCCCGGUGUAGCGGUGAAAUGCGUAGAUAUCAGGAGGAACACCAAUGGCGAAGGCAGCUCGCUGGGACGGUACUGACGCUGAGGCGCGAAAGCGUGGGGAGCAAACAGG
rnacentral:rRNA from 1 species